CAUACGCGGAAACGGAACGCGAGCUCCGGGAUGCGGACCGUAGCCGAGGUGGCGGCGGCGCUGCUGGCAGGUGAUGGCGGCGGAAUUGGGAGCGCUCGCGACUGAUCCUCCUGGGCUCCAGCCACCUUCCCAGGACUUUGGUCAACAUUCUAAGAAAGAGAUCAAAAAUAAGGAAGGUAGCUUCAUAAGCACUGAAUGCAUCGAACUAAGAACAAUGGAUCUGAAAUUCAACAACUCCAGGAAAUAUAUUUCCAUCAGUGUCUCUUCCAAAGCCCAAACUAUGUCACCCCACAUCAAGUCAAUAGAUGAUGUUGUAGUACUUGGCAUAAAUCUCAGCAAAUUUAACAAACCCACUCAGUUUUUCAUAUGUGUUACAGGAGUAUUUGUAUUUUACUUAAUCUAUGGAUAUUUGCAGGAAUUGAUAUUCUCAGUGGAAGGAUUUAAGCCCUUUGGCUGGUACCUUACUUUAGUUCAAUUUGGGUUUUAUUCCAUAUUUGGACUAAUAGAACUUCAACUUAUUCAGGACAAAAGGAGAAGGAUACCAGGAAAAACCUAUAUGAUAAUAGCUUUUCUAACCGUGGGUACUAUGGGUUUGUCAAACACUUCCCUAGGCUACCUGAAUUACCCCACCCAAGUCAUCUUCAAGUGCUGUAAAUUGAUUCCAGUUAUGCUAGGAGGAGUUUUUAUUCAAGGAAAGCGUUACAAUAUUGCAGAUGUGUCUGCUGCAGUGUGUAUGAGUCUUGGGCUGAUAUGGUUUACUCUAGCUGACAGCACAGUUGCACCAAAUUUCAACUUGACAGGUGUGGUCCUUAUCUCCCUUGCCCUCUGUGCAGAUGCUGUUAUAGGAAAUGUACAAGAAAAGGCUAUGAAGAUGCACAAUGCUUCCAAUUCAGAAAUGGUUUUGUAUUCCUAUUCAAUAGGUUUUGUGUACAUUUUAUUGGGACUGACAUGCACUACUGGAUUAAGCCCUGCAGUAGCAUUUUGUUCAAAGGUUUUUUGUUGUUGCAGCAUCCAAUACAGACGUAUGGUUAUGCAUUCCUUUUCUCCCUUACUGGGUAUUUUGGAAUCUCCUUUGUUCUGGCUUUGAUUAAAAUUUUUGGUGCUCUUCUUGCUGUAACAGUAACAACUGGAAGAAAAGCAAUGACCAUUGUGCUUUCCUUUAUAUUCUUUGCUAAGCCAUUCACAUUUCAAUAUGUCUGGUCUGGUUUAUUAGUUGUACUUGGUAUAUUUCUAAAUGUUUACAGCAAAAAUAUGGACAAAAUCAAGCUCCCAUCACUAUAUAGUCUGCUAAAUAAAAAAUUUGAAGACAGAAAGAUAAGGACGUUGGCACAAACAGUAUAGGCAGUAAUUUAUACUGUCUCAAAUGGAACUUUUUUUGAGGGAACAAUUAUCAAUUCACUUUCCAAAGGGAUCUUUAUAAAAACCAAAGGAGGAGAAGGUAAAUAUGAACUUUUUUUUUUUUUAAUGAAAUCAACCUUCUCUUUAGAACACUUGAAUUCAUAUUACUUUUGAAACAUUCAGCAAAGCCAUUGUGUAGCACAUUAUAAGAAUAAAACAUCAAGAUGAAGGACCGAAGUACUUGGCAGCUUAUGGAUAAUUUCUACUGGAAAUGAGACAUUGCAAGACCAAGACCAAUUUGAAUGCUAUAUUUGUGUCAUAUCUAAAAUGUCAUUAAUAUGGAAUUUGUAGAUUUUCUUACUUUAUUGUUUUCAUUGUUUGAUUAGAGUUAUUAAAAUUGAUUUUUUCUAUUAUUAUGAUACUGAUGACCAACUUUAUACUUUAAACUCUUAGGAGAAUGAUUAUUUUAAAUAAAAACAUAUUUAAUGAUUUGUAAAGUCUUAAUAUAAUUAUGUAUUGAAAGUUGAAAAUGAAAAUUAGAUUUUCUUUAAUGAAACAAAAAAUUGGGGGAUUUUUCUCUCACUUGCAAUUUAAAAAUCUAUUUUCUAAUGAUAGCAUGCCUUUUAAUUGCUCUAUAAAAUGUGCCUGGGAUGAAUAAAUUAAUUAAAUGAAUAUCAAUAAAAGGAAUUGUUUCUGUCCACUAGGAUGAUUCUGAAAAAUUAAGUUAUCCCAGAAGGGCUUAUUCAUUUAACUAAGGUAGAAAAAGUUUGUCUUAAAAUGAUUAUAGUUUAUUUUUCUUACAAAAUAUGAGUCCGCUUUGAAACAAUAAAAGAUAUAGUACAGUUAUAGUUGAAAGUUUGGUUUUUCAUGUGUACAAAAAAUAGUAUACAGGUUCUUAAAUAGCAGAAAAAAUUUAGGCUGUUUAUAGGCUAUUUUAGGUCCAAUAACUGCCACUAAAAUGUUAUUUUUAAAAUGUCAUUAAAACAGGGAUACAGCUUUGGAAUGACUGACAAUGCCAGGGAGGUAGUACAAACUCAAUCAGAUCCUCACAAAGGGGAACACUCACUAUGUUUGGAGUGUGUCAUCCCCUGAAAGAUGGCCAACAAGUAAUAUUGAUUUGGGGAGAAAGGGGAGUUUACAUUUUCUCAUCCCAAGUCAUAAAGAAUUAUUAUUUACCAAUGUGUAGAUGGAAUCAUUGAUAUUUUAUAAUAUUAAAGUGUGUUCAGAAAGACAUAGGGAACUGUCUACACCAAUAGAUCACAGUCUUUCUUAGUAGAUAAGGUCAUAGUACCUUAGAGUCACAACUGGAAGAUCAUUUAGUCUAAUUCCCUCCUUUUUCAGAUAAUGAAUUAAGGAUAAGCAGGAAUUAGUGUAUUGCUCAAGGACAUAGGAGGACUUUUUGGUAUGUAAACUCAGGUUCCCUCAGUACAGUACUGUAGUGAGAUAUCAAAACACAUUGCUGAUAAGGGAAUUGUCUAAUUCAGCAGAAUAAUCAGCAGACAAGAAUGAAACCUAAGUAAAUGUUUGUAACUUCAAGCCCAGGACUUCAUCCAUUAAAACAUAAGUCCAAAAAUAUAGCACUUAGAAUUUGCUUAUAUUUAACAUAAUCCACCUUUUUUAGUCAUUUACUUUUAAUUAUACUAACAGCUUUUCAAAUGUCUAAUAUAUGGCAAAGCCUAUUUGAAACAAUAUAAAUUUGACUUCCCAAUACAAAUAAUAUUGGUCAAAUCAAAUCAGUGUCUGUUCCACCAGAUAAUUUCACACAUGCUUCUUGGAUGUCAGUCAAUAGUUAAUUUAUUGAUUGCUCUCCAUGUGCCAAGUCUUGGGCCAAGCAGUGGGGAUACAAAAAAGAACAAAGGACAGGCCUUCCCUAAAGGGGCUCACAAUCUCAUUGAGGAGACAACAGGCAAACAAAUAUGUGGCAAACAAACUAUAUACAGGAUAAAGGAGUAAUUGAGAGGGAAAGCGCUAGAAUUAAGAAGGAUUAAAAAAGGUUUUCUGUGAAAGGUGGGAAUUGUUUUGGGGCUUGGAGAAAACCCGGAAAUAGAAGUGAGAAGGGAAGAACUUUCCAGGCAUGAGAGAAACCAGAGAAAUUUCCUUGAGCCAUGAUGAUAGUCAUGUUCAGACUAUAGUCAGGAGACCAGUAUCACAAUAUGUAGAUAUUAUAAGGUAAGAAUAUACUAGAAAGGUAUAACUAAGUCAUGAAGGGCUUUGAAUGUCAGAGGAUUCUAUAUUUGUUCCUAUAAGUAACAAAGCUAUUAUAGUUUAUUAAGUGUGGAGUUGGAGUGUUGACAUGGUUGGACCUGUGGUUUUGGAAAGUCACUUUGGUUGACGGAAUGGACAGUAGAUUGAAGAAAGACUUAAGGUAGACAAAUCUACCAGCAAGCUAUUGCAGUAAUCUAAACCUGAGGUGAUGAGGACUUCCACCAAUAUGAUGACAGGAGGAAAGGGGAUAUAUUUGAGAGACCAAGUUGCAAAGGUCAAAUCAAUAGGCCUUGGCAACAGAUUAGAUAUGAUUAUUAACCUUGUCAGUUAUUACAAUGGUUGUCACUAAAUUUCUGGUGAUGGCAGCUUAAUGAAUGAAGAACUGAUCAUUAGUAUUAAAAAAUUUUUACUUUUUCUUAGUCACUUUUUGAAAAGUUCAAUUCUAAUCUUUCAAAACUGAUCUAAGAUUAAGAAGCAUGAUGAGUUUUAACAUGUAUUUGUAAAUUCUUCAUAUUGUUUUGUAAAUGAACCAUGAAAAAUCAUGUAUUCUACCCUUCUUGCCUUAGAAGAUGGAUAAAUAAAACUGUCCUUUUCGGAGAAAGCACCUAAUAAAAAAGUUGUUCACACAAAAUCCUCAA